rnacentral:snRNA from 1 species
CAGGCUUUGCCUUGCGCGCGGGAUACUUUAGGCUAAAAUCAAGUGUAGUAUCUGUUCUUAUCAGUUUAAUAUCUGAUACUUCCUCUAUAGUUCUCACUGCAC